UACGUAGGGGGCAAGCGUUAUCCGGAAUUACUGGGCGUAAAGGGUGCGUAGGCGGUUUAUCAAGUCAGGGGUGAAAGGCUACGGCUCAACCGUAGUGAGCCUCUGAAACUGGUGAACUUGAGUGUAGGAGAGGAAAGUGGAAUUCCCAGUGUAGCGGUGAAAUGCGUAGAUAUUGGGAGGAACACCAGUGGCGAAGGCGACUUUCUGGACUACAACUGACGCUGAGGCACGAAAGCGUGGGGAGCAAACAGGAUUAGAUACCCUGGUAGUCCACGCUGUAAACGAUGAGUACUAGGUGUCGGCUGUCAAAGGUCGGUGCCGACGUUAACACAUUAAGUACUCCGCCUGGGGAGUACGCUCGCAAGAGUGAA
rnacentral:rRNA from 1 species